rnacentral:lncRNA from 1 species
CAACUGUGUGACUGUGUGAGGCAGGGGGAUGUCUGUGAGUGAUUUUCUGGGGCAGGGUGAUGAUGCUGAUUGAAUGUGUGAGACAGGGGCAUGAAAAUGAGACAGGGGAUGAAGCUGAGUGAAUGUAUGAGGCAGGGGUUUAACUGUGAGUGAGUUUCUGAGGCAGGGGGAUGACAGUGAGUGAAUUUCUGAGGCAGGGGGAUGACUGUGAGUGAUUUUCUGAGGCAGGGGGAUGACUGUAAGUGAUUUUUUGAAGCAGGGAGAUGACAGUGAGUGAAUUUCUGAGGCAGGGGGAUGACUGUGAGUGAUUUUCUGAGGCAGGGGGAUGACUGUAAGUGAUUUUUUGAAGCAGGGAGAUGACUGUGAGUGAUUUUCUGAGGCAGGGGGAUGACUGUGAGUGAUUUCUGCUGAUUGAAUGUGUGAGGCAGGGGCAUGAAAAUGAGGCAGGAGAUGAAGCUGAGUGAAUGUAUGAAGCAGGGGUUUAAUGUGAGUGAGUUUCU